GUUAGGAUGGCCAAGUGGUUUAAGGUGCUAGAUUCAACUUAUUGUCCUUGUAAAAGGGUGUGGGUUCAAAUCCUACUUUUGACA
rnacentral:tRNA from 1 species